AUGAGCUUUUACAGCCUUCAUGAAACCCUUCAUCAGGAGAUCGCCAAGUACCAGGCCAGAUUUUUCUGGGCUGGCGAGGCAGGCAGACAGAAAUAUCACAUGGUCAGCUGGCCAGACAUCUGCAAACCCAAAGACCAGGGUGGCCUUGGGAUUUUGUCCUCUCGGCGCAUGAACAUCGCCCUCCUCACCCGCUGGCUAUGGCGCAUUGCCAAUGGGGAGGGAGGCCUUUGGUUGACUAUCAUUCGGAACAAGUACCUGCGUGGCCAGCCUCUGGCGUUCUGCCAGCGCUCGGGCGGUUCCCAGUUUUGGCAGGCAGUCGUCCAGCUGCUUCCAGUCCUGAGGAUAGGCACCUCCAUCUCGGUGGGCUCUGGCGCCUCGACCUUGUUUUGGCUUGAUAGGUGGCUAGGGGACUCCCCCCUGGCCGCCCGGUUCCCCAUCCUCUUCGACAUUGUAGUUGACCCUCGGGUCUCGGUCGAGGCGGCCCUUAUUGACUUAGGGCGCCUCGCGUUUCGUCGUCCUUUUGGCCCUGCCGAGGUGGCUGCUUGGGAUGUCCUCCUCCAGGACAUCGCCCUGUUGCCUAUGGACAUGGCUGACUGUCUGGAUGCCAUCUCCUGGCGUCUGGAUUCCUCAGGCCGCUUCUCCACCAAGUCCCUUUACGCGGCUAUUGCCCCAUCAGUUGCCCCGGAGCCAUUCGGCCUUAUCUGGGACAUCCGCCUCCCACUUAAGAUCCGGAUCUUCUUGUGGCAAUGGAUCCGCGGCCGCCUACCGUCCGGCGUGGAGGUCCUCAAGCGCCAUGGGCCUGGGGAUGGGAUGUGCCCCCUAUGUGACACGGCGGAGGAUGCCAAUCACAUCUUCUUCUCCUGUUGCACGGCACAGUUCCUAUGGGCGUGUUUUCGCGAAACGGUUGGGGGACAAUGGUGUAAUAACAACUUCCCCGACUUGCUUGCGGAAAUCCAGGCCUCCCCUCCUCGCUACAGACAUAUUAGAUGGCUGUGCGUUGGGGUGCUGGCUUGGACGUUGUGGACGGUUCGCAAUAAGCUUGUCAUUCAGAAGGUGCCUCUUCGACGUGCGACUGACUCCAUCUUCAAAAUGUGUGGUUACUUGCAGCUCUGGCGGCCGCUUAGCCGCCCUCCGGACCGGGAUGCCAUCGACAGACUCCUCUCCGACCUUCGUUCGUUGGCCUUCCGCCUGGCUCCGCCGCUCCCGCCGCCUCCCCCGGAGCCCGACUAG
rnacentral:rRNA from 1 species